AAAUUGAAGAGUUUGAUCAUGGCUCAGAUUGAACGCUGGCGGCAGGCCUAACACAUGCAAGUCGAACGGUAACAGGAAGAAGCUUGCUUCUUUGCUGACGAGUGGCGGACGGGUGAGUAAUGUCUGGGAAACUGCCUGAUGGAGGGGGAUAACUACUGGAAACGGUAGCUAAUACCGCAUAACGUCGCAAGACCAAAGAGGGGGACCUUCGGGCCUCUUGCCAUCGGAUGUGCCCAGAUGGGAUUAGCUUGUUGGUGGGGUAACGGCUCACCAAGGCGACGAUCCCUAGCUGGUCUGAGAGGAUGACCAGCCACACUGGAACUGAGACACGGUCCAGACUCCUACGGGAGGCAGCAGUGGGGAAUAUUGCACAAUGGGCGCAAGCCUGAUGCAGCCAUGCCGCGUGUAUGAAGAAGGCCUUCGGGUUGUAAAGUACUUUCAGCGGGGAGGAAGGGAGUAAAAGUUAAUACCUUUGCUCAUUGACGUUACCCGCAGAAGAAGCACCGGCUAACUCCGUGCCAGCAGCCGCGGUAAUACGGAGGGUGCAAGCGUUAAUCGGAAUUACUGGGCGUAAAGCGCACGCAGGCGGUUUGUUAAGUCAGAUGUGAAAUCCCCGGGCUCAACCUGGGAACUGCAUCUGAUACUGGCAAGCUUGAGUCUCGUAGAGGGGGGUAGAAUUCCAGGUGUAGCGGUGAAAUGCGUAGAGAUCUGGAGGAAUACCGGUGGCGAAGGCGGCCCCCUGGACGAAGACUGACGCUCAGGUGCGAAAGCGUGGGGAGCAAACAGGAUUAGAUACCCUGGUAGUCCACGCCGUAAACGAUGUCGACUUGGAGGUUGUGCCCUUGAGGCGUGGCUUCCGGAGCUAACGCGUUAAGUCGACCGCCUGGGGAGUACGGCCGCAAGGUUAAAACUCAAAUGAAUUGACGGGGGCCCGCACAAGCGGUGGAGCAUGUGGUUUAAUUCGAUGCAACGCGAAGAACCUUACCUGGUCUUGACAUCCACGGAAGUUUUCAGAGAUGAGAAUGUGCCUUCGGGAACCGUGAGACAGGUGCUGCAUGGCUGUCGUCAGCUCGUGUUGUGAAAUGUUGGGUUAAGUCCCGCAACGAGCGCAACCCUUAUCCUUUGUUGCCAGCGGUCCGGCCGGGAACUCAAAGGAGACUGCCAGUGAUAAACUGGAGGAAGGUGGGGAUGACGUCAAGUCAUCAUGGCCCUUACGACCAGGGCUACACACGUGCUACAAUGGCGCAUACAAAGAGAAGCGACCUCGCGAGAGCAAGCGGACCUCAUAAAGUGCGUCGUAGUCCGGAUUGGAGUCUGCAACUCGACUCCAUGAAGUCGGAAUCGCUAGUAAUCGUGGAUCAGAAUGCCACGGUGAAUACGUUCCCGGGCCUUGUACACACCGCCCGUCACACCAUGGGAGUGGGUUGCAAAAGAAGUAGGUAGCUUAACCUUCGGGAGGGCGCUUACCACUUUGUGAUUCAUGACUGGGGUGAAGUCGUAACAAGGUAACCGUAGGGGAACCUGCGGUUGGAUCACCUCCUUA
rnacentral:rRNA from 1 species